CAGAAAUUCUAUGAAACCCCAAGCUGGACUACCAAAAGUUAUUAUUAUACCCCCAUCCCUGCAGAAAGUUAAGUUGGAGUCCUAGAAACAGAAUCCACAACAAAGCAAUGAACAAGGUGUAAUGUGCCUUUAAAAAUGCUUCUGCACACAUUGAUUGGACAACGUCACUCUUGCGACUCCAAAAAGUAUGAAAAUGCGGUCAUCUGAUUGACAUGUUCUGCAAGCGGG